rnacentral:rRNA from 1 species
GCGGGACACCUCCUUACCUUAUGACGCUUUGCACUGCUCACACAGAUUGUCUGAUGGAGGGGAAGAACGGCGGACGGGCUUGAAACUGAUGUGUGCUGUGCGUGCCCCUGCUCCUGCCUGCGCCUAAGUGCCCGGUUCACAGGGUGUUCUGUCCCUUGGGGAGGGAACCUAGAUAGGUUUUGACUUGAGCUUGGGGCCUCUAUAUCACAUGAGGUGUCUUCUGCACGGCUUGACAUUUUCUAAGUACUACAUCCUGUGGGCUCAGAAUCUACUACUCUGAAAAAAAAAAAUAGAACGCACUGUUCCUGGAUGGGUUCAACGCGAAGUUUUGCUCUAUAAAAAUCUGUAUCAUUAUGAAAAUUCAGACAAAAAAAAAUUAAUGUUGUUCGUGAGCCACUUCAAUUCUCUCAACGAUGUGCUUAUUGGUUAUCAGCGUCUUGAAGGUGACAGCGAAAUGUACUACGCGAAGUGAAUUGAUGACGUCCGUGAAUCAGGAAUCUUUGAAUGCAUAAUGCGCCCUCUGGGAUUCUGAGGGGAAUGCAGUUCAGCGUCAUUUACUUCACAAACACGAUGUGCGGUACAAGUGAUACUCUCAUUAAUUGAGUUAACUAGGAAAUGAGGCGAUAUGAGUAUAUGGACACUAGCGCAACUCACAAUUAACCACUGCACGUUUGCGCGAGCGGCGGGGGGUUAAUACUGUAUUAGGUUUUACCAACUCGUGUUGAUCUAGGAAGGGAUAAGUGAGUGUUUUGUGCGUGCUGGGCAGACAGACGUCUUUAAUUUGACCUCAAUCAGGUAGGGUUACCCCUGAAUUAAGCAUAUCAUAAAGCGGGAGAAAAAAAAACAAACCC